AUUUAAGUAGCUUAUAUAGAGUAUAAUAUUGAAGAUAUUAGGGAAAUAAAUUUUAUUCUUAAAUA
rnacentral:tRNA from 1 species